AAACAAAAAAAAAACUAAACAAAAAAACAACAACAACAAAGAAAAGAAAAGAAAAGAAAAGAAAAGAAAAGAGAGAAAAAGAAAUAGAAAACCUGACUAAUUGGCAUUUUUUGUCCUGAGAUUUUGGUAGAAGAAUGAGAGAAAUGGACUAUUGGUGUUUCUCUUUCCUCUACCCACUUUCCUCUUUUAAAAUGCACAAUUUUAUCAGACCAUGUUGAGAUAAGGAGGGGUUUGGAGGUUUUUAGAGAUCAGCGGUAUUUAUGGAUGAAGUGACGAUUUAACUCCAGGAGACUGGGAUUUGGAAAAAUUAUGUCAUUUUUUUUUCUGACAGCCAGGACAGCACUUGAGGACUUCAAACAUCUCUGAUGGAACGGCCUGGUACUUUGAUAAAAAGAAGGAUGGUUUAUUUGUGUUUUUAACCUUUUUGACUUUGUAUUUUAUCCUUCUGACUUUAGGUUAAUGACUUUCUUUCUUCAGCAUUGUGGAUGAAUUAGGUUUUGUCAUGGGGAAAAACAUGAUCUGCAAAUUCAUCAUUUUUUGAGACUGUGAAUAUCAGCAAAACUAUCAACUUUCAGGAAAAUGGAAAGUCUCUCAGAGAUGAAGACUGAAUACAGUGGAGAGAGAACUUCUGGAUUCAAGGACAUUGAAAAUAAUAGCUACUGUCCACUUUCAGGUGAAGUUGAGCAUGGAUGAUAUGAUGUUUGUGAGCCUGAUCAUGUUGUACCCCUAUUAUAUGCUAUGCCACUGCAGCGAUCAAGCUUGUCUAAAACCACCCCUGCCUUCAUACCACUCAAGGAGAAGACAAAUAUAGUUGGUUAUUGGAAGAACCAACAGGAUUUUACAGGAUAAGUAGACAUUUCAUAGAGCUCUUGAAACCUGAAAAUGAUUGACAUUGCUGUGUGAAAGGAAAAUAUCUUGGGCCCCCAAAAUCACUAAGUUAAAGGGAAAAUUCAAGCUGGAAACUGCUUAGGGUAAACCUGCCUCCCAUUCUAUUAAAAGUCAUCCUUCUGCUCACUGAGAUAAAUGCAUGUCUAAUUGCCUCCUUUGAAAGGCUAAUCAGAAACUCAGAAGAAUGCAACCAUUUGUCUCUCACCAACCUGUGACCUGGACCCUCCCCGCUUUGAGUUGUCCCACUUUUGUUUUGAGUUGUCCCGCCUUUCCAGACUGAACCAUUGUUAUAUAUGUUGAUUGAUGUCUCCUGUCUCCCUAAAAUGUAUAAAACCAAGCUGUGCUCUGACUACUUUGAGCACAUGUUGUCAGGACCUCCUGAGGCUGUGUCACAGGCAUGCAUCCUCAACUUUGGCAAAAUAAACUUUCUAAAUUAACUGAGACCUGUCUCAAAUUUUGGGGGUUCACAUUUGGUAACCAUGGAGGGAUUCUGAGUGGAGAUGCCCCUGACUUCUGACAAAUCUCCUAUCGGUUCUUCGUACCAGCAUGAGCUAACUUUAUAGCUCAAACCAAUAGGACAAUUUGCUGAGGUCAGGGAGCAACCCUUCCAGAGAAUCCCUGAUCUCCAAAAAUUUGGUCAAGAUCUAAAGUUUAUUUUGCUGUAUACUCCUUUUGUUUUUCUUGCUUCCAACAAGGAAGGCAAGAUUUCCUGUUUCCAAGACAAUGGAAAGCAGGUAACUCCUUUAUGGAGUUUGAGCUCGCUCCCAGCUGGGAAGACGAGUUGGAGUAUUUUUCCUGCUUCUACAAUGGUAGAAAGCAGUCUUCAGCCUAAGAUCCAUCUCUGGGUAAGUAGCUGAAUUGUGGUUUUGUCUUGGCUAAAGUUCAACAACCAGCUUAUCAUUGGAGCACUCAGUGAUCAUAUUGUUGGGCUUUGUUGUUGUUGUUUGUUCCAGUCUUUCUCCCAUCAGAUUUCAUCAACUCUAUCUGACUUGGACAAAUCCAAGUGAGAAUUGCAAAUGAUGGGUAACAAGCCCUCUCUAAUUUGGCUAAAAUUCCUCAUAGCUGCAAAAUUAAACAAAGAGAGAAAACAAGAAAACCAUGUGUUUGGUUUCUGUGUUCGCUUCCUUUCUUUAAAAAAAAAAAAAUUGUUCUUUUGUUUACUUUUCUUCCACCCUAUACCUCCUUCCCCCUUUGCCAUCUGAAGUAUCAAAAAUUCUAGAGAAAGCUUCUAAUGACUUUCAUACACGUCCGUGUGAAGAGGUCACUAAACAGGCUUUGUGUGAGCAACAUGGCUGUUUAUUUCACCUGGGUGCAGGCAGGCUGAGU
rnacentral:lncRNA from 10 species